rnacentral:rRNA from 1 species
GGAUUGCUUGCAAUCUGAUGACGAGUGGCGCACGGGUGCGUAACGCGUAUGCAAUCUACCUUUUACAGGAGAAUAGCCCAGAGAAAUUUGGAAUAAUGCUCCAUAAUAUCAUUUAUCAGCAUUGGUUUAUGAUUAAAGCUCCGGCGGUAAAAGAUGAGCAUGCGUUCUAUUAGCUAGUAGGUGAGGUAACGGCUCACCUAGGCUACGAUAGAUAGGGGCCCUGAGAGGGGGAUCCCCCACACUGGUACUGAGACACGGACCAGACUCCUACGGGAGGCAGCAGUGAGGAAUAUUGGACAAUGGAGGAAACUCUGAUCCAGCCAUGCCGCGUGCAGGAUGACUGCCCUAUGGGUUGUAAACUGCUUUUAUAUAGGAAGAAACACUCCCACGUGUGGGGGCUUGACGGUACUAUAUGAAUAAGGAUCGGCUAACUCCGUGCCAGCAGCCGCGGUAAUACGGAGGAUCCAAGCGUUAUCCGGAAUCAUUGGGUUUAAAGGGUCCGCAGGCGGCCUGUUAAGUCAGAGGUGAAAUCCUACAGCUCAACUGUAGAACUGCUUUUGAUACUGAUAGGCUUGAGUUAUUGUGAAGUGGUUAGAAUGUGUGGUGUAGCGGUGAAAUGCUUAGAUAUCACGCAGAAUACCCAUUGCGAAGGCAGAUCACUAACAAUAUACUGACGCUCAUGGACGAAAGCGUGGGGAGCGAACGGGAUUAGAUACCCCGGUAGUCCACGCCGUAAACG